AACGAACGCUGGCGGCGGGCCUAACACAUGCAAGUCGAGCGCGCCUUCGGGUAAGCGGCGGACGGGUGAGUAACGCGUGUGAAUAUGCCCUUCUCUACGGAAUAGUCCUGGGAAACUGGGGGUAAUACCGUAUACGCCCUUUGGUGGAAAGAUAUAUCUGGGAAGGAUUAGCUCGCGUUGGAUUAGGUAGUUGGUGGGCUCAUAGCCUUCCAAGCCGACUAUGCUUAGCAGGUUUGAGAGUAUGAUCAGCCACACUGGGACUGAGACACGGCCCAGACUCUUACGGGAGGCAGCAGUGGGGGAUCUUAGACAGUAGGGGCAACGCUGAUCUAGCCAUGCCGCGUGAAUGAUGAAGGCCUUAGGGUAGUUAAGCUCUUUCAGCUGGGAAGAUAAUGACGGUACCGGCAGAAGAAGCCCCGGCUAACUCCGUG
rnacentral:rRNA from 1 species